CCAAGAAGGAUAGCCCUCAGAAACCACCGAGUCACAAGUACCAUGCCCUCUAAAGUCAGACAUGUCCGGGGGCCAAUUAUACUCCAAUCAACAUAGUUGCUCAAAUUCCACUUCUCAGAGGGACACUGUGCUUGGGGUUUAAUGCUUUGGGGGCACUGUCUUUAAAUUUUUUUUUUUUUUUUUUUGGACAGAGUCUUGCUCUGUCGCCCAGGCUGGAGUGCAGUGGCUGAUCUCAGCUCACUGCAAGCUCCGCCUCCCGGGUUCAAGCAAUUCUCUUGCCUCAGCCUCCCAAGUAGCUGGGAUUAUAGGCAUGCACCACCACGCCUAGUUAAUUUUUUUAUUUUUAGUAGAGACGGGGUUUCACCAUGUUGGCCAGGCUGGUCUUGAACUCCUGACCUCAUGAUCUGCUCACCUCAGCCUCCCAAAGUGCUAGGAUUACAGGCAUGAGCCACCACACCCGGCCGGCUUUAAAUUCUUAAUAAUUUCAUUUUUGAAUUUGUGUUUUGUAAGUGAAGUCCAAUGGGACCAUGGAGCAUGCACCAGGGACUCGGAGCCCACCUGCAUGCCUUCCCCUACAGGUUCUCAGUGACUAGCUGCCUGCUCCUUGGUGCCCUGAUCCCCACCCAGCCUUCCUCUCCCCAGCUCUGCUCACUACUACAACCACUAUUGCCUUCUGCUCUGAGCAGUCAUUGGAUUACAUUGGCAGGAGAGUGGAGGGGAGGCUCACUUUUCCCUGUGGUCACCCUCAGCCUCCGGUGGGGAUCUGGGUGAAGUUUGGAGGGGGCCCACAAGCAGUCUGUUUUGGAGAAUUUUCAGGAAAGGCAAGGAAACAUCUGCUUUGGGCUGGCAGCACCACAGCAUGUUCACCAUGUGACUGGCAGGGCUCUUUAGACCACCCCAGUCAGUAAAGUGUCCCAGUGCAGGAGAUUUCAGUUCCUUGGGGUUGCAUACACCAAAGGUUGAAAAGGCAGGGCCAUGAGAAGAGGAGAUUUCCUCCUCGACUAGGUCUCACAAAUUAUAUAGCCAGUAGUGAUUGUGCCUCUUACAAUAAAAAUGAACUCAAAAACCUUUAUAAACAUCAUAACAUGGACUGUGGGACAUCUUUCAAGUGUUUUGUUUGAAGGCUGGGCAUGGAAAUUGUGUAAAAGGAAGUGAAGAGGUAUACCCGGAGUGUUUGCUGGAUUGGGGCUUAGGCCGGAAGCUGCUUCUGGAUGAUCUCUGUGCACAUGCAUGCCAUUGCAGAGAAGGGUCUUGUGGUUCUGAGACAUCCUAUGGUAUCAGCUACUGAUUAGAUUGAGAAGAGCCCAAGGUAGCUGGAUCAGUUUUAGGGCUAACCAAGAGAGUUGGUCCAGAAUGUACCAAACUUCCUAAGAUCACCCUGUGAAUCUUCUAGAUAUGAAAAAAGAGAAACAGAACAGAUUCACAGUUCUACUUCAAUCCCAAAUUUCAUCUUGGGUUUGAAACCAGAAAAACCUCUGAUCACAGAGAGAACAAGAUGACAUUUAUCUUUGUGGCAUCACUGUGCUAUAGGACUGCCCUAUUGCUUGAUUUGCAUUUUCUAAUAUUACAUAAUUUCUACAGGGCACCAUCCAGAUAGAAAUAUACCACAGAGCUCAAUUCUUGUAAUUAGACCCUGUACUGGAAAAUAUAAAAACCUCAAAGAGACAGAGAUAAAAUUUAUACACACAUUAAGAAAGGUUGUCAUGGCAACUUUGCUUGAAGAUAUGUAUUUUUAAAUCUAAGUAAAUUUGGCAUUCAGAACAUUUGCAUCUCCCUCAAAGGUUCUGUAUCAAGAAUAUUUUUUAAAAUUGUUUUCAAAUUUCUUCUGAAUCUACGCUUCCUUGAAAGCUUAAAAAAUCCUAUGAAUAUAAUAGCAUCAUAGACUUAAGCACAUAUUUGCAGAAGGCCCUAUAUGAGAAAAAUCCAAAGUGAAAGGGUAAAAACGUUACUUUUCUACCCCCAGAAUCCCUAGGCUUCUCCCUUUAAAAUGUUAAAUUGUGAGCAGGCUAUGCCCAUAUAAUCUCUACAAGGUCCUUUCAUGCUCUAAAAAUCAAUUAGCUAUUAGUUGAUGACCUUGCAAUAUAUGCAACAAAUUAUGGAAACUCAACACACCUAGUGCUGCAGUGUAAGUAAGCAACAAUUAAUACAGACCACUACAAUAAAUACUGCCCGGUAACUUAGCCAAACCAAUUCCUAGCUUUGUUUCUUCUUACUUUGAAAGUUCUCCAGUAUUCCUAAUCAGCAUCAAUGUUGAAAGCAUUCCUUGAUCAGAUACCUAGUUUAAUCAUCUUGCUCAUACAUUGAAAAUAAAGUGAUGAGACCAGCCGUGGUGGCUCAUGCCUGUAAUCCCAGAACUUUGGGAGGCCAAGGUGGGUGGAUCACAAGGUCAAGAGAUGGA
rnacentral:lncRNA from 10 species